UUUCUCUCUGCAAAGACAAAGAAAUUGAUGGUAUUUCUGCUGUAGCAGUUUGUGCACAGUCUCUGCAAUAACAGGACAGAAAACACAGAAAGCUUUGAAAUCGAUCAGUGUAACCCAAGCAUUGAAGUGCUCACUACAAGCCACUUAUAUCAAGUAAGUUUACUUUUGCUACUUUUAACACUGAGUUCAGCAGUUGCUGGAGGAGCACAGCAAACAUUUCUCCUGAUCAGAGUAUUACAGCAGCGAUGCAGACUGACCAGAUGACCCCAGAUGCUCAUGACAGCUGUGCCAUGUGUUUCACUAGGAGCAAAACUAAAGCUUUUUUCAGCAGGAACCAUGAAUUUAAAUCAUGACUCUCAUCCAACACUCCAAUACUACUCACCCCUUUCGAUUUUACAGGCGAGAAUACUGUACAUGUUGUAGUGAUUAGCAUGCCAACUUUGAGAAUAAUUAUAAAUAUCCCAAAACCCAUCAAGAUUUACACCAGCAAAAAAACUGUUCUUCUUUAUGAUAGGUCUUCCCAGCCUCCAGUUAUUGUAAGUCAGAUGAGUUUCAUCAUACCACUUGAGAACAUUAUCUGUGGAAAACAUUGCAUAUUUAUUAAAACACUGACAUUAUGUCUACAAAUACCAUUUAAGUUUGAAUAUAUUAAUGAUAAUAACAGAUACUCGCUUUGGAAAAAAUGCUGUGAUACCAUAAGUUACUCUAAAUCAAUUCCAUAUCCAAUGCUAAAUAUGUUAAAAGUGGCCAGGAUGAGUAAUGCUAAGUCCUGCUUUCCAGGGAAAUCAAAUUUUGACUAAACAGAACAUAUUGGAUCUAAUUAUCACUCAAACAGAGAGCAUGUCAGGUUAUUUUCUUCUAGAAGACAAGUACAAAUAUAAAUCAUUGUUACAAGUUUGCAUUCACUUUGACUUUAGUUAUAAACUGAAACAUGGAAGAAACAUGCACUUAAUCCUGCAAAUUUUGUCUCCAAUCCAGUUAAUAAGGAAAACCCCAAACCCUUAAAUCUUACCACUGUCAUCAUAAAUCACACCCAGCCAGACCCACAGAGCCAGACCGCUGAAUGAAUGAAGCUGCUCAGUAACAAAGUUAUUCUCCUCUUCAUCUCGAACGCUCAGAACAAAUGCUUCGGGGUCUGUUGAAAAUUUUUUUACAUUACUUUCUUACAAAUUCACCUUUCAGUUACAAAAGAAAUAAAUUUUUUUCUAUUACUGUUAACAAUUAUUACAGAUAGGUCAACAGUGUGUUAGGGCCAGAUCUUUAUAACAUAAUAACUAAUUGAACACUGCAAAAACGAUUUUCAAAUGUAUUAUCAAUGGUACUAUCUCUGGUUUUUUGGGUAAGUGUAAGAUUUCAGCUCCAGAGAUAUUUGUGGGUCCUACUGUCACUUCAAGUUGUAUGUAAUAAAAAUUCCCUGCACAGAACACAAAAAUAUCAGCAAACUUUCACUUGAACAUAUUUGCUUGAACUGCCCUAGUAAACAAACAGUAUUAAGGGAAAGAUUGAACUAAAAGCCAUUCACAAAAAAAUAAAAACAGUUUUUGCAAAAAUGAAUGUCUGGAGGUUUAAGAGAGGAAAGCUGUUCCUAAGGUUUUAAUUUAUUCAGGAUGAACAGAAAAUGUCCAUGUGCUUUUCAGUCUAUUUAUUUUGUUCACCUAAGUGUUCCACACAGCAAAGCUGGGGGCAGCAGGAAACCAUGAAGUAAAUGUUGCCAAGGGGAUAACAAUUACCCAAACUAUUUAAAACUGGCAUAUUAUAACAAAAACCCCAACCAAACACAAAAACCUUCCAAUUUUUCAGAGAUGUCAGAGUUCAGCAGUGCAAAGCCACCUCUUUCUUCAACUCUCCUAUCCAUGCUCUGGCAUUUUUUAUCAGAGUAGUGCAAGGGCAAACAGGAUCAGGCAGUGCAACACUACUGCAUUACUGCUACAGCCUUUCUCAACAUUCACUCUGCUGUCUGUCAUUGUAAGACAGUGACUCAGAUCUAACACUCAUCUGCCUCAAGCUGAUCCAAGUCCAUAAAUACCUGCAGUAUGACAAAGUACUUACUCAUAUUCCUGCAUAAAUGAUGAGCUUCUUGAGACUUCAGUUCUCUCCAUCUAUUUUUUGUUAUCACAAAAGUGUAACAAUUGUUUCUAAAUGAUAUCCAGGGUGUAUUUUUAAUCUUAUGUGGGCACUUCACUUGUGUAACUUGUUCUUUUUCAGUCUUCUCUAAAAAAAGACAAGACAACAUCAGUAGAUGAAUUACUAAUAACACCACCUGACCUGGCACCCCACAAACCACUUUCAGGUACCACUUAAAAACAUGUAAGACAAAUAAGUGCCAUCCUUUAAAUGUGUAAUGCAUUUUUGCUUUCAGUUUCCUCAUGAUGGUGAUUUUUUUUUUAAGUAACAAAACCAGCAGUAAGCUCUACUAAAGAAUACAGAUACUUGUAAGUUUUCACAGUUAUUUUAAUAGGUUAAAAAAUAAAAUCCCUACAAAAAAGCACUAAGUGUAGGCCAACAAUUAAAAGCUUGUAUUGCCUCUUGUGCAAGGCAGAUCACUGUAACAAAUAGGCUACUUCACAGCUAGCAACAUGUCAGUUCUAUGGCUUUAUCUAACACUUGAGGAGUGAGAGGCACUCUUCCUGCAGUUUACCUGGAUUGUAAGCACAAAACAGUUAAUGGCGUCAUAAUGCCACAUUUUACUGUGACUCAGGAUGUACAAUGGCUUGUGUUCCCUCACAGACAAAAACCAAAACCGUAACAAAUCAUAAUGGUCUCAUAGGGAAGAAGUCUGUGAUGAUCUCUCAGAAAAAUCUUUUUCUGAAGGAUACACAACUAGCACAGCACUUUCCUGAAAAUAAAAAAACCCACAUCCUACUAUAUCCCUGUCUUGUUUAAGGGUUAGAAGGGUUUUGUGAACUUCAGAUGAUGUAAAUUUCCAGUUCAGUGUCUACCUUCUAUCCUUCUUCUCCGUAUAAUCACGUACCUCCUCCCUGCAUAAGACUUGCAUGUCUGAAUAGAUUUUAGGAGGUCCCAAUAUUAAGAUGUAAAUAGUACAGAGGUAGCUUAAUCUUCUCCUACAUGCAAGUGGGAGAGAUUAGUAUGCAACAAUCUUAGAGAAGCAGUGCAAAGAUAGAAUCAGUUGGCAAUAAGGGUACUGUCUGACCCAAUGAAUCCAUGCUGAAUUGAUUUCUAAGGAACAACUGGAUUAAGAGCAACAUGUGCAUGCCCCCGUUUUUGAAGCCAGUUUCUAUUUUUUCAUGGCAUAGAAAUCAGACUGUCUGAGGAAAUAAAAGUUUUAAAAAGUUGUAAUUUUGAAGGUACAACCUGGAAUCAUCAAAUAUGUUUCAUAAUUAAAAAAAGGCCAGCUUUUAUAAAAAUUAUGGUAGCAUACAUACUUUCUGAUGCGUAGCAAAUAGCACCUCGAUUUUCAGAGGAACAGUCAGAAGUUCUCCAGAAGCCAUCAGUAUCCAAAACCACACAUUCUUCACUUGUUUCUUCAUCAUCCUCAGACCA